AUAGGUUUUGUUUAUUCCAGAAUGUCAUGUAUUUGGGAUGAUAUGUAGCCUCUUCAGAUUGUUUUUUCCAUUUAGUAAUAAUUACAAGUUUUGUCCAUGUGUUUCUAUAGCUUGAUAGUUCAUUUGUUUGUGGUGAUGAAUAAUAUUCCAUUUUCUGUAUGAAACAAUUUAUCCAUUCACCCAUUGAAGGCUAUCUUCAUCACUUCCAAGUUUCACGAAUUAGAAAUCAAGCUGCUAUUAACAUCCAUAUGCACAACUUCAACUCAUUUGGGUAAAUACAAAGGUGCAAGAUUGCUGGAUUAUAGGGAAAGAGGAUGUAAAGAAGAAUAAGAUACAAUUCUGUACCCUGACAUCUGGCUAUCUCCAAUUUGGGACUAUUAUAAAUAAAGGCAUUUGCAAUAUAAUCAGGAAAAUAUAAUUUAUUUCUUUGGGGCCUAUAUCUAGCAGAUAAAUUGCUAUGGGUAUCAGUGGCUUACAUACCCAACUUGGAGUCAAUGAGAUGAUAUGAGUCAGUGCCCUACUUUCACAAGAAAACUAUCAACAGGGCCAAGGAUAUUCACAGCAAAUGGACAUCUGACUACAUUAAGCUCAAUCACUAGACAAUAAGCACAGUAGGACUAAGAAUAACUUUGAAAGUAUCCACAGACCUUUAGUGCUCUCUAUCUAUUUUUAGA